rnacentral:rRNA from 1 species
AUUGAACGCUGGCGGCAGGCUUAACACAUGCAAGUCGAGCGAGCGGCGGACGGGUGAGUAAUGUAUGGGAAACUGCGUGAUGGAGGGGGAUAACUACUGGAAACGGUAGCUAAUACCGCAUACCAUCAGAUGUGCCCAGAUGGGAUUAGCUAGUAGGUGGGGGAAUGGCAAACCUAGGCGACGAUCCCUAGCUGGUCUGAGAGGAUGACCGGCCACACUGGGACUUAGACACGGUCCAGACUCCUACGGGAGGCAGCAGUGGGGAAUAUUGGACAAUGGGCGCAAGCCUGAUGCAGCCAUGCCGCGUGUGUGAAGAAGGCCUUCGGGUUGUAAAGCACUUUCAGUGAGGAGGCGUUACUCACAGAAGAAGCACCGGCUAACUCCGUGCCAGCAGCCGCGGUAAUUC